rnacentral:piRNA from 1 species
UUUCUUUGAUGUUUGGUCUCUUU